UACGUAGGUGGCAAGCGUUGUCCGGAUUUAUUGGGCGUAAAGCGCGCGCAGGCGGCUAUGUAAGUCUGGUGUUAAAGCCCGGGGCUCAACCCCGGUUCGCAUCGGAAACUGUGUAGCUUGAGUGCAGAAGAGGAAAGCGGUAUUCCACGUGUAGCGGUGAAAUGCGUAGAGAUGUGGAGGAACACCAGUGGCGAAGGCGGCUUUCUGGUCUGUAACUGACGCUGAGGCGCGAAAGCGUGGGGAGCAAACAGG
rnacentral:rRNA from 1 species